UGCAAAUGGAAGGUAAAGCCUCCACACAGAAAGCAUUUUGAAGAGGUGACAGGUCUUGGUGAUUGACAGGAAACUCUUUUUCCAUUUUCUUAUCCCUGUAGAAGUCCAUCAGUGAUGUGGCUGCCUUACAGGAAAGCCCUUUGUGGACCUAUGUCCAAGGUCAAAUGGUUGCCAUGGUACCCAGUUUUGUGCCAGGGGCAUAAAGACCAAAUAGAGAGUUCACCUCACACCUUUGUUCUCCAUCCCCGCAUUAUGCACUGAGGAGACCCGCAAAGCUUCUCGAAUCCAUGAAACAGAAACAACGAGACAGAGAAAGCUGUGAGUAAGGAGAGCCUGAGCAGUCAAGGCUGAUGGGGCCUUUCACCCGUGUGACCGAGAGGGGACGCCAAGCCCCUGAUCAGGAAAACAUGGUUCCAUGAGCCAAACAUCUCCACUACAGACAGCUGCCAAGGCCAGAGCUCACUGUGAGACACACAGGAGAAUGUCAGCCUCGUUUGCCAUCCAUCAGCAGUCGAUGGUUAACGUGGAGAUCAAAUUAGAAGCACUGCUCUCUGAGAAACCCAGAUAUGAAGCACUAGGUAAAAACUAAUACAAGCAUAUGAGAACAUAAAACACACCUGGAAAUCCAGAAAAGAAAAAAAUCUUGGCAUGGCAGCUGACUCUCAAUGCAUUCUCAGAGGCUGGGGGGCAAUAUUUUUAAAGAGCAAGCUAUUCAGUAAACUAUUUUGUGCAUGGUUACAGUCUAUUAUUUUAUUAUUUUAUUAACUCUCUUUUAGAACUAACUCUAUGGCUUCAAGUUGCUCCAUGUUGGCCUGGCCAGAAAAGCUGGUUAAGUUGUUGUUGUGGAUCCAAGUGUGGUCUGAGGAUCAGCUGUGUUGACACCCCCUCCGGAGCCCAAUACAAUCUGAGAAUCUCAGACCCCAACCCUGAGCUUCUGAAUGAGAAUCUGCCUGAAAACAAGAUCCCUGGAAGUUUUACGCCCAUUAAAAUUUUAAAAGCACUGCUUCAGAGCAAGUUAGGCAAAAAGAGCUGAGAUGGUUGGGUAGCUGAGCACUGGCUGGCUUUAAGCUCCAGCAGUAAUGUUAUAGCCAGUGCUCACUUCCACUCACUGGGCAGCGGAACUAACCACAGCCCCCAGGCCACAGCGAGCUAGCGUAUGUGGUCAUGGAGAAGCCGAGGACCAGGCCGGCUUCAGCUCCAGGACUCAAAGACCAAGAGGCACCUCCCCCUCUACAUGCUCAUGUGCAUGGACGGCCAAGGCCCCUACAAAUCAUGCACAAGAAGCCUAAGCAAUAUAA